GAUGAACGCUGGCGGCGUGCCUAAUACAUGCAAGUCGAGCGAACAGACGAGAAGCUUGCUUUUCUGAUGUUAGCGGCGGACGGGUGAGUAACACGUGGAUAACCUACCUAUAAGACUGGGAUAACUUCGGGAAACCGGAGCUAAUACCGGAUAAUAUAUUGAACCGCAUGGUUCAAAAGUGAAAGACGGUCUUGCUGUCACUUAUAGAUGGAUCCGCGCUGCAUUAGCUAGUUGGUAAGGUAACGGCUUACCAAGGCAACGAUGCGUAGCCGACCUGAGAGGGUGAUCGGCCACACUGGAACUGAGACACGGUCCAGACUCCUACGGGAGGCAGCAGUAGGGAAUCUUCCGCAAUGGGCGAAAGCCUGACGGAGCAACGCCGCGUGAGUGAUGAAGGUCUUCGGAUCGUAAAACUCUGUUAUUAGGGAAGAACAUAUGUGUAAGUAACUGUGCACAUCUUGACGGUACCUAAUCAGAAAGCCACGGCUAACUACGUG
rnacentral:rRNA from 1 species